rnacentral:lncRNA from 1 species
GGCAGAGUAGGGAUUUCAACUUGGGUUUCCACAGCCACAGAGGCUGCUCAUUCUCCCAAGAGUGCGUUGAGGCUGACAUAGGUGGCUGGGUGGGACCGGGGCGCUCUGCCCGUGGCCUUACCUGAGCCUGGGCCUCCUCACUUGGACCUGGGGUAGUCACAGGCCCCGCCCCCUGGGGUAGCGUGAGAUGGAAUGAGUUCGGCACCUGGCACAGUCCAUAGUGUGAACCCCAGUGGGACAGUUAUUCACCAGCCUUCCGGGCAGGGAUGGCCCACUCACCAGCUGCUCCUCCCCUGUGCGAGGGGCGCCUGAGUCAUGGGAACAAGGACGAACAGGACUGAAACUGUGCAAGUUAAAGCAAGCGAAGGACAAGGAUCCCUGUGGGAGCCUGGCAUGAGACUUCUGGGCUCUGGGCCUUUGCACUGACCGUUCCUCCUGCCUGGAGCACCUUUCCUCUUUUGCCUCUUCUUCUGCUUUAGUUUUUGAUGCCCCUGGGCAGAGUCGAGGAUUUCCUCCUCUCAUCGCUGCCAGCAACUUAAAGUGGUUGGGUAUGAACCUGCUUCCUCAAAGCAGUGCUUGGGUUGGUCCAUUCAUUUGGAUCCUCAGGGCAACAAACAGGGCUGGGCACAGAGACUGGCAGGGGACUGUGCUGGCAGGUGGGGGAAUGUCACAACCUGGGCUGCAGGGUGAGGGGCGGGGCAAGGCAGGCCCUCAUCCCACACUUAACAUCUGUGAUAAUUCCCUUUCAGGUCCACACGUGCCCACUGUGGGACCUCACCAAACUUGUUCCAUCAUCUGAAAAGUGGGGAGAAUAGGAGGAUUUACCUCCUGGGUUUAUUAGGAAGAUUUAAGGAGCUAACCCUGGAAAAUGCUGGUACGUCAUAUGUUGGGUGCAUAGUAAGGGCUCAAAACUGUUUGCUACUGAGCAAAGUGUUUGUCACUGAGUGCCAACUUUGUGCCAAGCACUUCACAUAAAGUCAUUCAUUUAAUCAGACACAACCAUGAUUGUCUCUACACAUCGG